rnacentral:rRNA from 1 species
GUAGGUGGCAAGCGUUGUCCGGAAUGACUGGGCGUAAAGGGAGCGUAGGCGGCGCGGUAAGUUAGGAGUGAAAUCCCGGGGCUCAACCCCGGAACUGCUUUUAAAACUGCCGUGAUUGAGUGAUGGAGAGGAAAGCGGAAUUCCUAGUGUAGCGGUGGAAUGCGUAGAUAUUAGGAGGAACACCAGAGGCGAAGGCGGCUUUCUGGACAUUAACUGACGCUGAGGCUCGAAAGCGUGGGGAGCAAA